rnacentral:rRNA from 1 species
AAUGGGCGCAAGCCUGAUCCAGCCAUGCCGCGUGAGUGAUGAAGGCCCUAGGGUCGUAAAGCUCUUUCGCCAGAGAUGAUAAUGACAGUAUCUGGUAAAGAAACCCCGGCUAACUCCGUGCCAGCAGCCGCGGUAAUACGGAGGGGGUUAGCGUUGUUCGGAAUUACUGGGCGUAAAGCGCACGUAGGCGGAUCAGAAAGUAUAGGGUGAAAUCCCAGGGCUCAACCCUGGAACUGCCUUAUAAACUCCUGGUCUUGAGUUCGAGAGAGGCGAGUGGAAUUCCGAGUGUAGAGGUGAAAUUCGUAGAUAUUCGGAGGAACACCAGUGGCGAAGGCGGCUCACUGGCUCGAUACUGACGCUGAGGUGCGAAAGUGUGGGGAGCAAACAGGAUU